GCAAGGGGUUUUUUUUACUAGUGACUCCGAAGUUAAGAGAGUUUGGGCGAGAGUAGUACUAGGAUGGGUGACCUCCUGGGAAGUCCUCGUGUUGCAUCCC
rnacentral:rRNA from 1 species